UACAGAGGUCUCGAGCGUUGUUCGGAUUCAUUGGGCGUAAAGGGUGCGUAGGCGGCGGGGCAAGUCUGAUGUGAAAUCCCGGGGCUUAACCUCGGAACUGCAUUGGAUACUGCCUUGCUAGAGUGUGGUAGGGGGAGACUGGAAUUCCUGGUGUAGCGGUGAAAUGCGCAGAUAUCAGGAGGAACACCAGUGGCGAAGGCGGUGCUCUGGGCCGGAACUGACGCUGAGGAGCGAAAGCGUGGGGAGCAAACAGG
rnacentral:rRNA from 1 species